rnacentral:rRNA from 1 species
GCAGCCGCCGCGGUAAUACAGAGGGUGCGAGCGUUAAUCGGAUUUACUGGGCGUAAAGCGUGCGUAGGCGGCUUUUUAAGUCGGAUGUGAAAUCCCUGAGCUUAACUUAGGAAUUGCAUUCGAUACUGGGAAGCUAGAGUAUGGGAGAGGAUGGUAGAAUUCCAGGUGUAGCGGUGAAAUGCGUAGAGAUCUGGAGGAAUACCGAUGGCGAAGGCAGCCAUCUGGCCUAAUACUGUCGCUGAGGUACGAAAGCAUGGGGAGCAAACAGGAUUAGAUACCCCAGUAGUCCCUGUCUCUUAUAC